rnacentral:miRNA from 1 species
UGCAAGUUUAUGAGGUAUGUGUGUGCCCACAUGCAUACACACACCUACACAAAUAU